rnacentral:piRNA from 1 species
ACCGCUUUGUAUUUUCCUCUGCUGUCCC